rnacentral:rRNA from 1 species
AUUGAACGCUGGCGGCAUGCUUUACACAUGCAAGUCGAACGGUAACAGGCCGCAAGGUGCUGACGAGUGGCGAACGGGUGAGUAAUGCAUCGGAACGUGCCCAGUCGUGGGGGAUAACUACUCGAAAGAGUAGCUAAUACCGCAUACGAUCUAUGGAUGAAAGCGGGGGACCGUAAGGCCUCGCGCGAUUGGAGCGGCCGAUGUCAGAUUAGGUAGUUGGUGGGGUAAAGGCUCACCAAGCCAACGAUCUGUAGCUGGUCUGAGAGGACGACCAGCCACACUGGGACUGAGACACGGCCCACACUCCUACGGGAGGCAGAAGUGGGGAAUUUUGGACAAUGGGCGCAAGCCUGAUCCAGCAAUGCCGCGUGCAGGAAGAAGGCCUUCGGGUUGUAAACUGCUUUUGUACGGAACGAAACGGCUCUGGUUAAUACCCGGGGCUAAUGACGGUACCGUAAGAAUAAGCACCGGCUAACUACGUG